AACCCUGUGGUGAGGACCGAUGUUGAAGGAUUGGCGGUAGAUCUUGAAAGGUUGAGUAACGUUCAGAGCGACAGAACUCUGGCAGAACGAUUGGUUGAGGAAGCCCUGAAGCUCAAAAGAAUCCAGAACCAGAUGGUCCUCCCAAUAGAGACCCUUGUGGCACAACUGAAAGAAAGUCUCCAGUUUUUAGCAACCAUGU